AUUGAACGCUGGCGGCAGGCCUAACACAUGCAAGUCGAGCGGCAGCGGGAAAGUUAGCUUGCUACUUUUGCCGGCGAGCGGCGGACGGGUGAGUAAUGCCUGGGGAUCUGCCCAGUCGAGGGGGAUAACAGUUGGAAACGACUGCUAAUACCGCAUACGCCCUACGGGGGAAAGCAGGGGACCUUCGGGCCUUGCGCGAUUGGAUGAACCCAGGUGGGAUUAGGUAGUUGGUGGGAUAAAAGCUUACCAAGCCGACGAUCUGUAGCUGGUCUGAGAGGACGACCAGCCACACUGGGACUGAGACACGGCCCAGACUCCUACGGGAGGCAGCAGUGGGGAAUUUUGGACAAUGGGGGAAACCCUGAUCCAGCAAUGCCGCGUGCAGGAUGAAGGCCCUCGGGUUGUAAACUGCUUUUGUACAGAACGAAAAGGUCUCUAUUAAUACUAGGGGCUCAUGACGGUACUGUAAGAAUAAGCACCGGCUAACUACGUG
rnacentral:rRNA from 1 species